ensembl:lncRNA
GGUACAGAGUCAAUGUGGAGGCUAUAUACAGGGGGUACCGGUACAGAGUCAAUGUGGAGGCUAUAUACAGGGGGUACCGGUACAGAGUCAAUGUGGAGACUAUAUACAGGGGGUACCGGUACAGAGUCAAUGUGGAGACUAUAUACAGGGGGUAUCGGUACAGAGUCAAUGUGGAGGCUAUAUACAGGGGGUACCGGUACAGAGUCAAUGUGGAGGCUAUAUACAGGGGGUACCGGUACAGAGUCAAUGUGGAGGCUAUAUACAGGGGGUACCGGUACAGAGUCAAUGUGGAGGCUAUAUACAGGGAGGUACCGGUACAGAGUCAAUGUGGAG